UUACUUACCUGGCAGGGGCGACACCAUGAUCACGAAGGUGGUUCACCCAGGGUGAGGCUCUGCCAUUGCACUUGGGUGGUGCUGACCCUUGCGAAUUCCCCAAAUGCGGGAAUCUCGACUGCAUAAUUUUGGGGGGCAGUCGUGGGCUGG
ensembl:snRNA U1 U1 spliceosomal RNA